rnacentral:rRNA from 1 species
AUUGAGCGCUGGCGGAAUGCUUUACACAUGCAAGUCGAACGGCAGCACGGGGGCAGCCCUGGUGGCGAGUGGCGAACGGGUGAGUAAUACAUCGGAACGUGCUCGGUCGUGGGGGAUAACGUAGCGAAAGUUACGCUAAUACCGCAUACGAUCUGAGGAUGAAAGCGGGGGACCUUCGGGCCUCGCGCGAUCGGAGCGGCCGAUGUCAGAUUAGGUAGUUGGUGGGGUAAAGGCCUACCAAGCCGACGAUCUGUAGCUGGUCUGAGGGGACGACCAGCCACACUGGGACUGAGACACGGCCCAGACUCCUACGGGAGGCAGCAGUGGGGAAUUUUGGACAAUGGGCGCAAGCCUGAUCCAGCCAUUCCGCGUGCAGGACGAAGGCCUUCGGGUUGUAAACUGCUUUUGUACGGAACGAAAAGGCUCUGGCUAAUACCUGGGGCUCAUGACGGUACCGUAAGAAUAAGCACCGGCUAACUACGUG